AUCUGUACCCAAAAGACUCACUUGACACUUAUACUCAAGACAGAAUUAAUGUUCCCCCCCAAAGGUGCUCUUCCUCCUGUAUCCCCUACCUUGGCUGUGGAAUGCCAGACACCCAGUGUCUCAAGACAGAAACCUAAGGGGCAUCUUAAAAUCCCCUCGCUCCAUUCAGUUUCUUCUUCUGCAAGCCACACGGGAAUUCCAUUCAAUUUCUUCUUCUCUCUCUUCAUCCCAUGCAGUAAAUCUUCAAGUACUUUUCAGUCCACCUUUUUAACAUCUCUCCUAUCCAUUCUCUCUGCCUUUCCACUGCAACUGCUUUAGUUUAUGUUCUUGUUAACUCUUAUAGUAGUAUUGCAAUUGAUUUCUCUAUCAUCUUUUUCUCCUUCAAUUCAUCCUCAGCAGAGCCACAUUAAUAAUAUUUCUCAAAUAAAUUUGAUCACAUUUCUCCUUUGCUCAAAAAUCUUCCAUGGCUCUCAUCACUUACAAGACAAAGGUAGGAAAUACAGGGAAUAACUCGUGCAAAAGCAGAAAGGCGUAAAACCAUGUGUAUUACAGAGGAAAGUAUUAUUUUGAUAGUAUCUGACCUCAAGAGUGUGAGGUACAGGAUGGAAAAGGCAGGCUGGGCCAGACCAUCCACUUGUCCUUCCUGGAUUGCCCAGCCACUCCCUUCACUGCCAGCUCUGAAGUGACUUCUGGAAAGUCACUGGAAAGAAUUCUCAACCCCCACUCGGAAGUUCAUCACACCUUCCUCACGGCAAAUGCUGUGUUUUUUUGCUGUUGCUAUUGUUCUAAUUACAAUCUAAUAUAAUUACUUGCUUGCAUGUCUGUCCCCCCUUUAGACCGUGAAAUCCUUUGGGACAGUAACAGUGUCUAAUUCAUUCCAGAGCCUCAUAUGACAAACUGCCCAGCACAUAGUGAGCCUCAGAUAACUGAUCUCUUUCCUUCUGCUUUCUUCUCUUUAAUUUCAUAAGAAUACAGGCAAGAGAUAAUGAAAGCUUAACCAAGAGUGAUGGUAGGAAUGCUGAGGUAGAAAUAAAAUAUUAGAACUAUGUAAGAAACUGAAUAGGCUUAGUCAUUAACUAAAAAGAGGUAAGAAAUGAUUAUCAGAAUUCUUCCUAAAGAAAGAAAGGUAGAAAAGCUCAUCUUCAGUUAUAUAUUUCAGUUAUUUGGGAUUUUAAUUGUUUUGUUCAUUUAUUUCUUAUAGCUGGUGGUAAAUCUAACAUUGGGUUUGUACUGAAUCACAUUAAACUAGAUUAUAAAUAUUUUUGACACAUUUUUAAUGUUUUAGUAUAAUUUUUUAGAGCUUGCAAAAUCAUUUCCCUGAGACAGAGGUUGCAGUGACCACCAGGGCAUUCUUAGGGCGGCUCUAGUGUCUCACUCUUGACUCCAGGCCUCCAAGUAUCCUCUGCUCUCCAAAAUCUCCAUGCCAGCAAUUUUUUAGAUAGGCAGAAAUGAGAAACAUUCUUUAAUUCUGGCUCUUUCCUCCCCCUUCCAAACUUGCAGAAUUACUUAAAAGUUUUACUGAAUCCAAGUCUCUGGAACAGACACAAAGAAUCAAGUAACCUAUUACUUAGAUGAUUUAAGUGCUGCAUGAAAGUUGCAUUUUUGAUUAAAAAAAGACACGUACUCCAGUGUUCACUGCAGCACUAUUUGCAAUAGCCAAGACAUGGAAACCAUCUAAAUGUCCAUUGACAGAGGAGUGGAUAAGGCAGAUGUGGUACAUAUACACAAUAGAAUAUUACUCAGCCAUUAAAAGGAAAGAAAUAAUAGCGAUUGUAGCAACAUGGAUGGACCUAGAAAUUAUCAUGCUAAGAUAAGUCAGUAAGACAAUGAGACACCAGCAUCAAAUGCUAUCACAUACAUGUAGAAUCUAAAAAAAAAGGGACAAAAUGAACUUCUUUUCAGAACAGACACUGACUCACAGACUUUGAAAACCUUAUGGUUUCCAAACGAGACAGGUUGAGAGGUGGGGCGGGGGUGCACUGAGGUUUUGGGAUGGAAAUGCCUUAAAAUUUGGUUGCGAUGAUUGUUGUACACCUAUAAAUGUAAUAAAAUUCAUUAAGUAAUAAAAAAAAUUUUACUGCUUCUAUCACAAGUUUUAUUGUUUCAAUGCAUUCAAUUGCAUUGCAACAAUAAAACUUGUGAUGAAACAAUUUUCCCCUAUGUAUAUAUAUAUUUAUAUUUGUCCGUUUAGAGCCAAAUGCUCACAUGGCAUCUGUAGCUCAGAUUCGACCCCUUGACCCCUGGCUAGGGAACUUCCAUAUGUCAUGGGUGCAUUUGGCCCUAAAAAGACAAAAAA
rnacentral:lncRNA from 1 species